rnacentral:rRNA from 1 species
UACAGAGGGUGCAAGCGUUAAUCGGAAUUACUGGGCGUAAAGCGUGCGUAGUCGGUUAUCUAAGUCGGGUGUGAAAUCCCCGGGCUCAACCUGGGAAUUGCAUUCGAUACUGGAUAGCUAGAGUUCGGCAGAGGGAAGCGGAAUUUCGGGUGUAGCGGUGAAAUGCGUAGAGAUCGGGAGGAAGGCCGGUGGCGAAGGCGGCGCUCUGGAACAUUUCUGACGCUGAGGCUCGAAAGCGUGGGGAGCAAACAGG